UAGGGAAUCUUCCGCAAUGGACGAAAGUCUGACGGAGCAACGCCGCGUGAGUGAUGAAGGUUUUCGGAUCGUAAAGCUCUGUUGUUAGGGAAGAACAAGUGCCGUUCAAAUAGGGCGGCACCUUGACGGUACCUAACCAGAAAGCCACGGCUAACUACGUGCCAGCAGCCGCGGUAAUACGUAGGUGGCAAGCGUUGUCCGGAAUUAUUGGGCGUAAAGGGCUCGCAGGCGGUUUCUUAAGUCUGAUGUGAAAGCCCCCGGCUCAACCGGGGAGGGUCAUUGGAAACUGGGGAACUUGAGUGCAGAAGAGGAGAGUGGAAUUCCACGUGUAGCGGUGAAAUGCGUAGAGAUGUGGAGGAACACCAGUGGCGAAGGCGACUCUCUGGUCUGUAACUGACGCUGAGGAGCGAAAGCGUGGGGAGCGAACAGGAUUAGAUACCCUGGUAGUCCACGCCGUAAACGAUGAGUGCUAAGUGUUAGGGGGUUUCCGCCCCUUAGUGCUGCAGCUAACGCAUUAAGCACUCCGCCUGGGGAGUACGGUCGCAAGACUGAAACUCAAAGGAAUUGACGGGGGCCCGCACAAGCGGUGGAGCAUGUGGUUUAAUUCGAAGCAACGCGAAGAACCUUACCAGGUCUUGACAUCCUCUGACNNNCCUAGAGAUAGGGCUUCCCCUUCGGGGGCAGAGUGACAGGUGGUGCAUGGUUGUCGUCAGCUCGUGUCGUGAGAUGUUGGGUUAAGUCCCGCAACGAGCGCAACCCUUGAUCUUAGUUGCCAGCAUUCAGUUGGGCACUCUAAGGUGACUGCCGGUGACAAACCG
rnacentral:rRNA from 1 species